GAAAUGCGAUAAGUAGUGUGAAUUGCAGAAUUCAGUGAAUCAUCGAAUCUUUGAACGCACAUUGCGCCCCUUGGUAUUCCAUGGGGCAUGCCUGUUCGAGCGUCAUUUGUACCCUCAAGCUCUGCUUGGUGUUGGGUGUUUGUCCCGUCUCCGCGCGUGGACUCGCCCCAAAGUGAUUGGCAGCCGGCGUACUGGUCCCGGAGCGUAGCACAUGUCGCGCAAACGAGUGCCUUGGUACGGCGGCGUCCAUAAGCCCCUCUCUCACGCUCUUGACCUCGGAUCAGGUAGGGAUACCCGCUGAACUUAAGC
rnacentral:misc_RNA from 1 species